AUAGAAGGGCGCAGGCGCUAGUUCAGUGCUCGUGAGGUAACUGGCGCUGGCCCACGCCGACUAAGGGAGACGCUCUAGGCACCGGGAUGGGGUCCCUGUCCCCGAGCUCUAGCGGGUCAGAACGCCUUCCUGGUCCGCGGCCGAGUUGAAAGUUGUUCCCACUCCCAUAAGUCCAAGGACCAGCGUCAGCUGUGUACCUGCCGAGCAGCCCUACUGAGGACUGUGCUCGGCCUCUGAAUAUCUAGACGGACACGAGCCAUACCCAGUGACGGCCCAAACCAGCGAACGCUGUCUGGCAACGUUUUUUGCAAUUUGUCUUAUUUAAAAACCAUAUACGGGCUUGGAGUGGUGGUGCCUGUGGUCCCACCUACUUGGAAGGCUGAGGUGGGAGGAUAACUCGAGCCCGAGAGGUCGACACCGCAGUAAGCGGUGCUCGCGCCACCGCACUCCAGCCUGGGCAACAGAGCGAGACCAUGUAUUAAAAAAAAAAAAAAAAUCCCCAGUCAUUUCUUCCGCUGUCAAACACCGUCUACAAGAUUCGAGUCAAACAACGUGAGAACUUGAAAUACGUCUCCAUUCUUUUUCCUUAGUACUCUCGUUCAUUCACUUACGGAACUGAUCUGCCUUACUAUUUCCACAAAAACUAGUCAUCAGCAAGAAGCUACCUGUGGGGUGCACAUUCUCAGGUCAAAUGACUUAGAAGCAACUUGAGGCAGUAUGGGAGCAUAAAAGACAGCCAGGAUGCCAAAGUCUCCGAGCAGUGAGUAGGAGUCUAAGAAGUUGGAAAGAUUCAUGGACCUCUUCCAGUAUGUGAAAGCCACAACUGUGGAGCAAAUGGGAAAGCAGGUCAGGAUCCAAGAAUUGUGACCACAAUUUUGGAUAUAAUUAGGGCACUGAGACCAGUCGGGAAGAAACCAAGGAUGAUCCGGGUAUAAACAAGGAGCAAAGCAUGCUGGAGAAUUUUGAAUGUUGAAGUGCAUGUCCAGCUCUAGAUGAAAGUUUCCUGCUAAAAGAGUUAGUGCCUGUGAGAGAGUCCCAGACAUUGCAGUCCUCAGUUUGUACUUCUUUCAUAAUGCUUAUGUUGGGCUUUGAAAGUGCUCAUUUCUCUUGCUAGUUUGUAAACUUCUGGAGGCCAAAGCCUGUGAUUCACCCUUGUUCACAUCACCUGCGUUGCCUAGUGCAGUGCAUUUACACGUUGAAAUUAUGGACUUGCACAGUGAUAAAGUUUGGAUAUGUGUCCCCCCACAGAUCUUAUGGAGGUGGGGCCUGGUGGGAGGUGAUUGGAUCAUGGGGAUUGAAUUUUCAUGAAUGAUUUAGUGCCAUCCCCUUGCUACUUUCCUCUCAAUAGUGAGCGAGUUCUUGCAAAAUCUGGUUAUUUAAAAGUGUGUGGCACCUCCCUUAACCCGGCUCCUGCCCUGGCCAUGUGAUGUGCCUGCUCCCUCUUCUGUCAUGAUUGUAAGUUUCCUGAGGCCUCCCCAGAAGCUGAGCAGAUGCCAGCAUCAUGCUUCCUACACAUUCUGCACAACCAUGAGCCAAUUAAACCUAUUUUCUUUAUAAAUUA